AUGAUGUGCGAUUUCUUGUGUCCCCUACUUUCCUUGUUAACGUUUUGCGCAGUGUUGCUUCUUAUUCCAUUGUGGAAUGAUUUAUCCUAGCUAACUUGUUGAGAUGCAUGCGCCAUUCAUCCACGCCUACCCGUUGGCAUCAUCAACAAUCUUCAAAGUGGGUGACGGAAGGAAAUUGUUUUCCAGUUUUAAAAUAUUAAGCGUUCAGCACAACUCAGCCACAAAACAACGCACUGGAUUACGCUAAGAACCUGUCGAAACGCGCACAGCCCCCGGGCGCGGUAGGAGAAAGGAAGAACGAGAG